UGGGGAAUAUUGGACAAUGGGCGCAAGCCUGAUCCAGCCAUGCCGCGUGCAGGAUGACGGUCCUAUGGAUUGUAAACUGCUUUUGUACAGGAAGAAACAGUUCUACGUGUAGAACCUUGACGGUACUGUAAGAAUAAGGAUCGGCUAACUCCGUGCCAGCAGCCGCGGUAAUACGGAGGAUCCAAGCGUUAUCCGGAAUCAUUGGGUUUAAAGGGUCCGUAGGCGGUUAGAUAAGUCAGUGGUGAAAGCCCAUCGCUCAACGGUGGAACGGCCAUUGAUACUGUCUGACUUGAAUUAUUAGGAAGUAACUAGAAUAUGUAGUGUAGCGGUGAAAUGCUUAGAGAUUACAUGGAAUACCAAUUGCGAAGGCAGGUUACUACUAAUGGAUUGACGCUGAUGGACGAAAGCGUGGGUAGCGAACAGGAUUAGAUACCCAUGUAGUCCCUGAGCGGGCUGGCAAGGCGCAU
rnacentral:rRNA from 1 species